GGGGAUAUGGCUUAGUGGUAGAGUGCUUGCCUAGCAUGCAUGAAGCCCUGGGUUCGAUUCCUCAGUACCA
rnacentral:tRNA from 1 species